UUAAUUGAAGCCAAAAUAGAGGCAUAUUACUGUUAAUGAUAUCAUUGAAUUUAAUUUCCAAUUAAA
rnacentral:tRNA from 2 species